rnacentral:rRNA from 1 species
GAUGAACGCUGGCGGCGUGCUUAACACAUGCAAGUCGAACGGAAAGGCCCUGCUUUUGCGGGGUGCUCGAGUGGCGAACGGGAGAGUAACACGUGAGUAACCUGCCCUUGACUUUGGGACAACUUCAGGAAACUGGGGCUAAUACCUGAUAGGUGCUCCUGCUGCAUGGUGGGGGUUGGAAAGCUUCGGCGGUUGGGGAUGGACUCGCGGCUUACCAGCUUGUUGGGGGGGUAGCGGCCUACGAAGGCUUCGACGGGUAGCCGGCCUGGGAGGGUGACCGGCCACAUUGGGACUGAGGUACGGCCCAGACUCCUACGGGGGGCAGCGGGGGGAAGUAUUGCCCAAUGGGCGGAAGCCUGAUGCGACGGCCCCGGGUGCGGGAUGACGGCCUUCGGGUUGUAAACCGCUUUCGCCUGUGACGAAGCGUGAGUGACGGUACUGGGUGAAGAAGCACCGGCUAACUACGUG